AUCCAGCGGUGAUGAUUUUAUGAAAAAUUCACAUGUCAGACUUCAGAGAUUCUUAACGAAUCAGUGAGAAUGAAUUCAUAUUUUCUGAGCAGAAG
rfam:Brassica rapa chromosome A5, whole genome shotgun sequence.